UAGUCAUAUGCUUGUCUCAAAGAUUAAGCCAUGCAUGUCUAAGCACAAGCCGAUUAAUGGUGAAGCCGCGAAUGGCUCAUUACAACAGCCAUAGUUUCUUAGAUCUUACUUUUCUACUUGGAUAACUGUGGUAAUUCUAGAGCUAAUACACGCAAAAAAGCUCAGACCUUACGGAAUGAGCGCAUUUAUUAGAACAAAAACCAAUCGGGCUUCGGUCCGUCAUUUGGUGAAUCUGAAUAACUUUGCUGAUCGCACGGUCUUCGUACCGGCGACAUAUCUUUCAAAUGUCUGCCUUAUCAACUUUCGAUGGUAGUUUAUGCGCCUACCAUGGUUGUAACGGGUAACGGAGAAUAAGGGUUCGACUCCGGAGAGGGAGCCUGAGAAACGGCUACCACAUCCAAGGAAGGCAGCAGGCACGCAAAUUACCCACUCCCGGCACGGGGAGGUAGUGACGAAAAAUAACGAGACGGCUCGCUAUGCGGUCCGUCAUCGGAAUGGGUACAAUUUAAAUCCUUUAACGAGGAUCUAUU
rnacentral:rRNA from 1 species